GCCCGAUACGAUGUCGACUUGGAGGUUGUGCCCUUGAGGACAGUGGCUUCCGGAGCUAACGCGUUAAGUCGACCGCCUGGGGAGUACGGCCGCAAGGUUAAAACUCAAAUGAAUUGACGGGGGCCCGCACAAGCGGUGGAGCAUGUGGUUUAAUUCGAUGCAACGCGAAGAACCUUACCUGCUCUUGACAUGCCUGGAACUUUGCAGAGAUGCAUUGGUGCCUUCGGGAAUCAUGACACAGGUGCUGCAUGGCUGUCGUCAGCUCGUGUUGUGAAAUGUUGGGUUAAGUCCCGCAACGAGCGCAACCCUUGUCCUUUGUUGCCAGCGGUUCGGGCGGGAACUCCAAGGAAAAUGGCCGUGAAAAACUGGAAGAAAGGGGGGAUGAAGUCCAGUCAUCCUGGGCCUUACCAGUAAGGCUACCCACGUGCUACAAUGGCAUAAACCAAAAGAAUCGACCUCACGAGAACAAGCGGACCUCAAAAAAUAUGUCCUAAUCCGGAUUGGAAUCUGCCACUCCACUCCCUGAAAUCCGAAUCCCUAAUAAUCCUAAAUUAAAAUGCUACCGUGAAUACCUUCCCGGGCCUUGGACACACCGCCCGUCACACCAUGGGAAUGGGUUGCCACAGAAGUAAGUAGCUUAACCUUUCGGAAGGCGCUUACCACUUUGUGAAUUCUGACUGGGGUGGAGUCUCAAAAGAAAAAACACAAAAA
rnacentral:rRNA from 1 species